CUGCGAGUGAAGCGGGAAAAGCUCAAAUUUAAAAUCUGGCGGUCUUCGGCCGUCCGAGUUGUAAUCUGGAGAAGCGUUUUCCGCGCUGGACCGUGUACAAGUCUCUUGGAACAGAGCGUCAUAGAGGGUGAGAAUCCCGUCUUUGACACGGACUACCAGUGCUAUGUGAUGCGCUCUCGAUGAGUCGAGUUGUUUGGGAAUGCAGCUCAAAAUGGGUGGUAAAUUCCAUCUAAAGCUAAAUAUUGGCGAGAGACCGAUAGCGAACAAGUACCGUGAGGGAAAGAUGAAAAGCACUUUGGAAAGAGAGUUAAACAGUACGUGAAAUUGCUGAAAGGGAAACGAUUGAAGUCAGUCGCGUGUGCUAGAACUCAGCCUUGCUUUUGCUUGGUGCAUUUUCUAGUGUACGGGCCAGCAUCAGUUUUGGCCGCCGGAAAAAGGCCUUGGGAAUGUGGCACCUUCGGGUGUGUUAUAGCCCUUGGUUGUAUACGGUGGCUGGGACUGAGGAACAUAGCAUGCCUUUACGGCGGGGCUUCGGCCACCUUCAUGCUUUGGAUGCUGGCGUAAUGGCUUUAAACGACCCGUCUUGAAACACGGACCAAGGAGUCUAACAUGCCUG
rnacentral:rRNA from 1 species